GAGUUAUGUUAUGGAGAUGGCUAUUUGAAAGUGGAUUGUAGUGUUGUUGUUAUGAUGGUGUUUGUUUGUGAGCACAUGAAGAAGAACAUGUUUUUUCUUUCUUGAUAUUUUUUUGUUUUUGUUUUUCUACAGUCUCUAAAAAACCGAAUACUUGGAAAUUAAUAAAGCGAUUUUUACUUGGUAUAUUGUUAUGGCGUGAAUAUCACGUAGUUAAUAGUGCUGUAAUUUUUACAUGAC
rnacentral:lncRNA from 1 species